CCGUGCUCCGGGACCCCGAGCAGAGCUGCUCGUUUGUCCCCGUGUCCCUGUGUCUGUCCUCAGGCGGCCCCAGGAGCUGGCACUGACCGUGCCGCGGGUCGGGCACAGGCUGCUCCCAGCUCUGCCUGCGGAACUUCGGCAAUUACCGACAGCAGUUCUUUGCCCUGCCAUCCAGAAGGUGCGGCUCAUCUGACACCAGCCAGACGGGGAAGGCCCUGCCUGGGAGGGAAACGGCUACAGGGGAGGAAACCAAGAAAUGCUCCAACCGGAUGGUGCUGCGCGAGUCAAAAGAGGGGUAAGACCGCGGGCAAAUACAGUCAGGAAAUGAGCUUUUAUUCAAUCUCUGCAGGAGCCCUUCGCAGCCACGGGCCGGAGGGAGCGCGGCCGGCUGGGCUGUGCCCGGCUGGGGACGGGCACCAAUUCAUCACUGCCCUGCUCAGGGAGGUUUUCCGGCCCCGUCCGGGCUUCACCCAACGGCUGCAAAGGUGCUCGUGCGGCAUCCGAGCUCAUUUCCAGGGAUAAAGGAGCCAAACGAGUCCGGAGGGAUCCCUCGCUCCGAGGCAAAGGCGUUUGGUCGAGUGUCGCCGCCUGGUCCCGCCUGCGGGGGAGCGUCUCCUCCAGGUGAAUUGUGCACAAGCCAGUCCCCCAUUCCCUAUCCAGGCUGGGAGUGCUCGUGCCCUUGGCACAGAUGGCUCUGGCUGGGCAGGAACUGAGAGCAGGACGUGGGGCAGAGUGGAUCAGCUGCCCAGGGAACAUCCAGGAGAUGAAGCUACGGGAUCCUCAUUCCAAUCAAGGGAACACAUUCUGUCUCUGGCAGAAGCCGGGAGCCAAAGCAGAUCCCGCCUGGCCAGGCUGGGGGGCAGCAGUUGGAUCCACUCUGGGGGAAAGCCCCUGUGCCUGCCAGGAGCUCUGACUCUGUUUGUCCUGCCAGCUCUGACCAGUGUCAGGGCCACUGGGAGGGAUUCAGAAUCCACAGAAAUCCCAAAUCCUACUGAGGGACUCAAUCAAAGGAAGAAAGUAAUUUUUGUCAUAAAAAGAUUAAAAAAACUGUUAAA